rnacentral:rRNA from 1 species
AGGAUUAGAUACCCUGGUAGUCCAUGCCGUAAACGAUGUCUACUAGCCGUUGGGGCCUUUGAGGCUUUAGUGGCGCAGCUAACGCGAUAAGUAGACCGCCUGGGGAGUACGGUCGCAAGACUAAAACUCAAAUGAAUUGACGGGGGCCCGCACAAGCGGUGGAGCAUGUGGUUUAAUUCGAUGCAACGCGAAGAACCUUACCUGGCCUUGACAUACUAGAAACUUUCCAGAGAUGGAUUGGUGCCUUCGGGAAUCUAGAUACAGGUGCUGCAUGGCUGUCGUCAGCUCGUGUCGUGAGAUGUUGGGUUAAGUCCCGCAACGAGCGCAACCCUUUUCCUUACUUGCCAGCAUUUCGGAUGGGAACUUUAAGGAUACUGCCAGUGACAAACUGGAGGAA